rnacentral:tRNA from 1 species
GACCGGGUAGCAAAAUGGUUAAUGCGUCAGGCUUGCACCCCCGAAGAUGCCGGUUCGAAUCCGGCCCCGGUCU